rnacentral:rRNA from 1 species
UACAGAGGUCCCAAGCGUUGUUCGGAUUCACUGGGCGUAAAGGGUGCGUAGGUGGUGAGGUAAGUCGGAUGUGAAAUCUCCAGGCUCAACCUGGAAAUGGCAUUGGAAACUACCUUGCUAGAGGGUUUGAGGGGGGACUGGAAUACUUGGUGUAGCAGUGAAAUGCGUAGAUAUCAAGUGGAACACCAGUGGCGAAGGCGCGUCCCUGGAAAAUACCUGACACUGAGGCACGAAAGCUAGGGGAGCGAACGGG